UCAAACUGAUUCAAGUCUAAACAGUAACACAUGCAUGGCAGUCCUGUUGUGUAAUCGUCACCAGAGGAUGAUGCAUGAAAGAGCUGAAGUGUGUCAAAGUCAGGGGUUAAAACUGGGCUUCAUGAGCUGCAGGGCUUCAGCAUCUAGUUAGCCCCACAGAAGACGAGCGAACAUAAAGGGAGUAAUGUGUUACUGAAGGUCAUUUCAAAUGCAGCAUUUCUGCAAACACACAAAAUGUUUGAGCGCAGUUUGUGUAACAGUGUGUUGCGGCUAAAGGUGCAGCUGCUUAUUUGACAGGGAGAGAAAAGAAAGAGCUAACUUCACUCAGACAGACAGAUAAGACAGACGGGACAUGGCAGGAAGAAGAGAGCUUACAUUUAAAGGUGUGUCCAUCCACAGAGAGCAGCAGGUCAGCUGAUCACAGCCUGCACACUAAGAACAGCUGCUGGAGCUCUCAGGAGAAAUGAUUGCAAAGUCCCCUCUACAACGGAGGCAACAGCAAGUACAUUUGAUUUGAUUUUCCUUCAGACUCAAGCUGAGUAUAAUUAGAAGCAAAAAUAGACUAAAGUUUGUUCCCCUCUACUGAUAUUAUUCUAUCAUUAUGUUCAUAUAGCACGGGGUUCAGUCAGCUUUGGACAAAAUAGAAGCGUCCUCCUUUACUUCCUUACUUUGAGCACAUUUAGAGCCUUUACUUUUUUAUUCGAGUAAAUAAGUUGAAUCAGUGCUGUAACUUUUACUGGAGUAUUUUUACUAGUAGUAUCUGCACUUCUACUCGAGUACAGACAAUCUAAACCACCCUCUGGUUUUUAUCUAAUCAGGACAUAUAUGUAGGUAACUUAAAAACUAUAUAGUUCCUGUCUCGUUGUAGGUAACAUGCGAUAAUGAGUGAUGACAGUUCUGCAAAAACAUUAGAUAUGUGUAAAUCUAUGACUUCCUCUUCUUCAGUACUGGC